AUGCGUUCAUACGACUCACAGUCACAUUCUGGGGCAUUGUGGUGGGCGAGAAGAAAGGCAAUACAUGAUCAAAUUUUCCAAAGUCCGUCCGCAACCCACCAGUUCAUCACACAUUUCAUUAGUGAGCUCGAGCUCCUAACAACACCAGGGAAGAAACAUGCAGCAGGUCAGAGACCUGCUGUACUUAGACCCAAAGCACCUCCCGCGGGGCAUCCAAAGAUCCAUGUGGAUGCUGCAGUCUCAAAAGCGCAUGUAAGAGGGGCAGCAGCUGCAGUUUGUCGAGAUGAAAUGGGAAACUUUUUGGGAAGCUCAGCCCUGGUUAUAACAGGUAUAACGGAUGUGGCGACCCUGGAAGUUUUAGCUUGCUGAGAGGGUUUAGCUUUGGCAGAAGAUCUCUUGCUCCAGGAUUUUAUCAUCGCCUCUGACUCAAAACAGGUAAUUACUGAUAUUGAGAAGGCAAGCAAAUGGAAUUAUGGGGCCAUCAUCUGUGAAAUUAAGUCUAGAGCUCGAAAUUUUAAUUGUAAGUUUAUUUUUGAAGGUAGAGCAGCAAAUCAUGAUGCUGAUAGAUUAGCCAAAUACUCGCAUUCUUUGGAUCAGGGAAGACAUGUCUGGAUGUCAAUACCACAUGAUCCAUUUUGUAUUCCACGAGUUGUGGACUUUGAGCAAUAA
rnacentral:rRNA from 1 species